UCCCCGUUACCGGGGCAGUCUAGCUAGAGAAAUUCAACUAACUAUAAGGGUUGCGCUCGUUGAUGGACUUAACCAAACAUCUCACGACACGAGCUGACGACGGCCAUGCAUCACCUGUCACUAGGUUCCCGAAGGCACGGUCCCCUUUCGGGGACUUUCCUAGGAUGUCAAACCUUGGUAAGGUUCUUCGCUUACCAUCGAAUUAAACAACACGCUCCACCGCUUGUGCGGGUCCCCGUCAAUUCCUUUGAGUUUUAAUCUUGCGACCGUACUCCCCAGGCGGGAUGCUUAACGCGUUAGCUUCGCUACUACCAGGGUCGAUACUGAUAACAGCUAGCAUCCAUCGUUUACGGCGUGGACUAC
rnacentral:misc_RNA from 1 species